ACAAAAUAUGCAAACUUCGCAAGGCUAUAUUUUCCGUAUUUUACAACAUUUGGUAACCAAAGUUUGCAAUUUUACUAAUUUUAAUAAGAUCUUUACGGGAAAUUUCUUUUUUUCGCCUAGAUCAAAAAUUAGUCUAACAUGCAAGUUGUCUAUUGUAGAUGGAAAUUUCGAGUGUCAAGGCCAGAGGGCCGAUAUUUUUCGCAACUUCUCCUGGUUUAGGUCUAAUAAAGGUAUAAAAAAUUCCACUCGAAACUUAAAUUUACAACUUCCUUGAACAAUGCUCAAAAUGGUUGUUUGUUAUCAAGGCAUUCUAUCACGCUUGGUGUAUGAAACACAUAUCACAAAAACACGAUCAUUCCUUUGGUGUAAAAUCAAAACAUAUAUAUAUGGGAAUAACAUUUCCACUCUUGUGCAGUCUGCUUCCUCUGUUUUCAUGGCUUUGUUUCCUGUACGUUUUUGUCUGCAUCAUCAACCUUGCUAGGUUCUUAUUCGGUUAUUUGCUCUGCGCUAGGUUGAUCUUUGUUUUCUUCUGCUUUUGUUUCUUCAUCUUCACUAUCUUCCUCAGGCUAUAUAGAGAAUAGGAGAUUAUUAUACAUCACCAGUGGCAGUCGUCUCAGCCUAGACUAUCUAUUUUUGUAACAAUUGAGAUAUUACCUUCCUAACUGUGUUU
rnacentral:lncRNA from 1 species